UCUAGUCUCUCAUAGAAACUUCUGGCCUCUGGACACUGUGGGAGCAACUUUUCCUUUAUUAGACUGUCUCCUCUUUAACUGCAUGACUGGGAAGCCUGUCCUUCAUUACUUCAAUUGAAGAAGAAGAAUGGAGUCCAUCCGGUGGCUCCUGGCAGCAGCUGGAGUAGAGUUUGAGGAAGAACUUUUUGAAACCCAUGAAGAGUUUGAGAAGUUAAUCCAAGGUGGAACCCUGAUGUACGAGCAAGUGCCCAUGGUGGAAAUCGAUGGAAUGACUUUGGUGCAGACCAGUGCCAUCUUAAGAUAUGUAGCUGCAAAAUAUGACUUGUAUGGAAGGAACCUGGAGGAACAAGCCUGAAGAGAAGGAGAUGAACCUUGAAUACAUCCUCCACCGAGCUACAACAAGAUUCUUCCCCGUUUAUGAGAAGGCCCUGAGAGACCACGGGCAAGACUUUCUUGUGGGCAAUCGGCUGAGCUUGGCUGAUGUCCAGCUCCUUGAAGUCAUCUUAAUGGCUGAAGAAUGCAAAGCCAGUGUUCUCUCGGGUUUCCCUCUGCUACAGGACUUCAAGGUGAGAACCAGCCAAAUUCCUACAAUUAACAGCUUCCUCCAACCUGGAAGCCAGAGGAAGCCUCCUUUGGAGGAGCGAUCCAUUGGGACUGCAAAGGACAUAUUCAAAUUUGAAUGAGGACUGUUUCUUAAAAACAUGAGCAAUAUAGUAGCUGAGUAUUAACAGCUACAGAGGCUGGAGUUACUCAGUAAGUAUACUGAGUAACUUGACACUGCAUUCAUAAAAAGACACUCACUAAGUAUAUGGCCAGAGAAAUAUCCUGAAGUUAGUAAUAAAUGUUAGGAAUCUUAGUAUGUUAGCAAUGUUAGAAUGUUAGUAAUGGAAAUAUUAAAUGUGUAAGAGAAAAACUACUAGAAGCUUAUCAAUAAACUACAAGAACCAACUCUUGUUUGAAGUAAGACAGGCUACCAAGACAGAAUUCAGAAAAUCCAAGGAGCCCUCGGCCUUCUGUAUGAUCCUAGAAUAAACUUGUAUGUAGCAAGUGAAA
rnacentral:lncRNA from 1 species